CCGGGCUGCGGGGCCGCCAGGAGGGCUCCGGCCGUGGCUGCGGGGCUCUGGAGCUGCUCCAGCGCCGAGCAGCCUCGGUCUUCGCUUUUAUCCCUUCCUGCAGCGCCGUAAUGAGCUUAUGUGCUCCUUCUGGGAUGUGGUGUAAGCACAGAAGUCAGCGUGUAUUUUACCUUUCUCCGCUUAGGUGUUUAUUACUGUGAGAGGACUGCAGGGCCCUCAAUCUGUCCGGUUUUUGAAUCUUAGAUCAACACUCACCGCCACAGGAUGCCAAGGAUGCUGUUGUGAGAGGACUCCAAAUAACCAGGCAGCUCCCUGCAAGGGGAGGCCAGAGCUCCCAACAGCACAAAUUUCUGAUCAGUGUUCAAAGCAUGAACUUCUCUGUCAUAGAAUAUUCUCCCAGUGAAUGACUUUCAACCCAAAUAAUUGAUUCCUUCAUGUUUAAAGAUCUGUUUUACUACAUACUAUUAGAAAACUGGACUCCACCUUUAAGAAUAUCUUUUGUGUACUGGUUAAUCUUGGACCUUUGCUUGGCAAACUGACUUUGAGACAUUUUCAAUAAUGUGAGCAAAGUAGUGCAUGGUCAUCUUUUUGGUAUGUUGUGUCUGUGAAUAGUAUCUCGUGUUCCCUAUCUUUAGACAACAUCGUGUCACAUUGGGGCUAGGGGGAACUGUUAAUAGAUCAGCUGCAAGGGAACUGAACUAAAUACCAGCAGGUUGUAACCUGAAUUCUUACUUGGUGUGUUUGGUCUGUACCUUUGAAAAAAUGACAUGGCAAUUUUCUGUUGGUGGUGUGUAUUGUCUGUGUCUGGUGUCUCAUAGUUCCUACACAAAGUGCUAAAUAAACUCUGCACCGCUGUAUUGCUGUUGUCA
rnacentral:lncRNA from 1 species